AUUUGUUGUCAUGCACAUCGACAUUAUUACUUAAUCUACUGAAAAUUUAUUCGAAAAAAAAUGUUAUCAAACUGAAAUCGUCUCAAAAUUGCUUUAAUUAAAAUCCACUCAAUAUGAGUCGUCUGCUGACCACAACAUUGUGGCUCCAGCUGAGGCAACAAAUAUAUGCAAACAAAUGAAAAUGUUCCAAGGAAUUAAAAUCAAUAGAAUUGAUGAAGAGGCCAAUACAUAGUGCGAAGCUACACGUGUUCGGAUGAAUCGAAUUUGAAUGCAAAUCAACGUCAUCUAUUUGUUUAGGCUUUCAAAAAUACGAAUAAAUAUACAGAUGGAGAAGCUGGGAGUUGCAUUGGCUGUCUACCAAAUGUCAAAGUCAAGCGUUUUAUUGUCUCUUUUAUGCACCAAAUGGCUUUUAUAGCGCAAGGUGCUUGCAAAAAGCUCCAAUAAACCUUCAGUGAACAAGUGAAUAUAUUGUUUUGGGACAUUCAAAGAAAAAUGUAUUAAAAUUCCAUGACAUCAACCGACACCAAUAAAACUUUUAUCAUGGCCAAAAUUUAAAUUAAA